CCCCUGUGAACAUACCAAUUGUUGCCUCGGCGGAUCAGCCCGCUCCCGGUAAAACGGGACGGCCCGCCAGAGGACCCCUAAACUCUGUUUCUAUAUGUAACUUCUGAGUAAAACCAUAAAUAAAUCAAAACUUUCAACAACGGAUCUCUUGGUUCUGGCAUCGAUGAAGAACGCAGCAAAAUGCGAUAAGUAAUGUGAAUUGCAGAAUUCAGUGAAUCAUCGAAUCUUUGAACGCACAUUGCGCCCGCCAGUAUUCUGGCGGGCAUGCCUGUUCGAGCGUCAUUUCAACCCUCAAGCCCUCGGGUUUGGUGUUGGGGAUCGGCGAGCCCUUGCGGCAAGCCGGCCCCGAAAUAUAGUGGCGGUCUCGCUGCAGCUUCCAUUGCGUAGUAGUAAAACCCUCGCAACUGGUACGCGGCGCGGCCAAGCCGUUAAACCCCCAACUUCUGAAUGUUGACCUCGGAUCAGGUAGGAAUACCCGCUGAACUUAAGCAUA
rnacentral:rRNA from 1 species